rnacentral:rRNA from 1 species
GAUGAACGCUAGCUACAGGCUUAACACAUGCAAGUCGAGGGGCAGCACAGUGUAGCAAUACACGGGUGGCGACCGGCGCACGGGUGCGUAAUGCGUAUCCAAUCUGCCCGUUACCCGGGGAUAGCCUUCUGCAAGGAAGAUUAAUACACGAUGGCAUGUCAUUCCGGCAUCGGAGACGAAUUAAAGAUUUCUCGGUAACGGAGGGGGAUGUGUGACAUUAGAUAGUAGGCGGGGUAACGGCCCACCUAGUCUACGAUGUCUAGGGGUUCUGCGAGGAAGGUCCCCCACAAUGGAACGGAGACACGGUCCAGACUCCUACGGGAGGCAGCAGUGAGGAAUAUUGGUCAAUGGUGGGAAGACUGAACCAGCCAAGUAGCGUGAAGGAUGAAGGUUCUAUGUAUUGUAAACUUCUUUUAUACAGGAAUAAACCCUCCCACGUGUGGAGGCUUGUAUGUACCGUAUGAAUAAGCAUCGGCUAACUCCGUGCCAGCCGCCGCCGUAACAC